rnacentral:tRNA from 2 species
GGAUGUAGCGCAGCUGGUAGCGCGCUUGGUUUGGGACCAAGAUGUCGCAGGUUCGAAUCCUGUCAUCC